UCUGCCGAUAAAACUAACGCGAUGCCAUGAUGAGCUAGUAGUUAUUGGUUCAACGUCAAGCAGACCGGGACGGUUUCAGUGCAGUGGAAGCAAGUGCUAGCAGUUACCUUUCUCGCUAUAUAGUUGCCGGGUAUUGUGUGGUCUGACCGAUAACGAGGCAAAAAUGGAAAAAGUGAUGGCUACAGCUAACAUCGCGAUGCGUAGCUAGUGGAAUAUUAUGAGAUCGGCCUUUCUUUGAUCCAGGCAUGCAGUUCGGUGUGGCAUUUUUGAUGAUCCUGUUGAGUUGGUGGUGUGGUAGCAACAAUGGUGUGCUAAGCAGCGGGGUGACCGGCAAGGCGCCGGUGGUUUUUCCCCUCUUUCUGUCCGGACAGGCUGGAUAGUUAUGCUGACGCCGUGGGAUACACUGCUACACAACCAUCCACACCAACAGAACAGUAGGGUAAUUAGGCUAAGUUCAACAAUAAAAAUGUAAGUACUCUUUA